UACAGAGGGUGCAAGCGUUAAUCGGAAUUACUGGGCGUAAAGCGUGCGUAGACGGCUGCGUAAGUCAGAUGUGAAAGCCCCGGGCUCAACCUGGGAAUUGCAUUUGAGACUGCGUAGCUAGGGUGCGGAAGAGGGAAGCGGAAUUUCCGGCGUAGCGGUGAAAUGCGUAGAUAUCGGAAGGAACACCAGUGGCGAAAGCGGCUUCCUGGUCCAGCACCGACGUUCAGGCACGAAAGCGUGGGGAGCAAACAGG
rnacentral:rRNA from 1 species